UACGAAGGGUGCAAACGUUGCUCGGAAUUAUUGGGCGUAAAGCGCACGUAGGCGGCUUUGCAAGUCCCAUGUGAAAUCCCACGGCUCAACCGUGGAAGUGCAUGGGAAACUGCAGAGCUUGAGUACUUAAGAGGAUCGCGGAAUUCCUGGUGUAGCGGUGAAAUGCGCAGAUAUCAAGAGGAACACCGGUGGCGAAAGCGGAUCCCUGGAAAGUUCCUGACUCUGAAACACGAAAGCUAGGGGAGCAAACGGG
rnacentral:rRNA from 1 species